GGGGCGCGCCGGGGGGGGGCGAGAAGAGCUCCAUCGCCAUCCCCACCAUCGUGGUCAAGGCCCCCUCCACCAGCAGCAGCGGCCGCAGCAGCCGGGGCAGCAGCGUGGAAGCCGAGGGGGCCCCCCCAGGCCCGGGGGGGGCCAACGAAAGCGGGGCGUCCCCCCCUUCCUCCGGCGGCCCCCCGCCUCCGUCUCCCGGCUCCGCCGGUGCCCCCCACCCGCCGCCGCCGGCCCCCCAGUUGGAUUUCACCUCCCAGUUCGGGGCCGCGCUGGUGGGGGCGGCCAGGCGGGAGCGCGAGUGGCCCGGGGAGGCGUCGAGGAGGCGCUCGGCGCUCUUCCUCUCCACCGAGGAAGAGGAGGAAGGCGCCGGGGGGGGCCCCGGCUCGGUGGGCGCCCCCCGCCUGCGCCACUCCAAGAGCAUCGACGAGGGGAUGUUCGCCGCCGACGCCUUCCCCCCGCGGGGUUACCGGGGGGGUAAAGGGGGGGCCGGCAGCGCCUUCAGCAGCGUGCCGGGGCACCCCGCUGCGGCACCCAUGCACGCGGCGGCACCCAUGCACGCGGCCGCAGCGGGGCUGCACCCCGGGGCUGCGCCGCUGCACGGCGGCGCCCCGGGCAUGCACGGCGCGCCCUCGCCCGUGCACGGCGCGGGCUCGCCCAUGCACGGUGCGGGCUCGCCGGUGCACCCCGGCGCGGCGGCGCCCAUGCACGGCGGCGCCUCGACGCCCAUGCACGGCGGCGGCGGCGGCGCUGCAGCGCUGCGCUCGGGCGCCGGCUUGCACGCCGCGCCGGGUUGCAAGGGGCUGGCGGCGCUGCAGGCGGCCACCAUGCCGCUGCAAGCCGGGGCCGUGUCGCUGCAAGCCGGGCUGGCGCCGCUGCAGCCGGGGCUGGCGCCGCUGCAAGGCGGCGUGCCGCUGCCCUCGGGGGCGGCCUCGCUGCAGUCGGGGCUGGCGGCGCUGCAGUCGGGCUUGGGGCCGCUGCAAGCGGGCUUGGGGCCGCUGCAGCCGGGCUUGGCCUCGCUGCAGGCGGGCGCCUUGGCCUUGCAGCCGGGGCUGGCGCCCUUGCAAGCCGGCGCCCUGGCCUUGCAACCCAACCUCGCCUCGCUGCAGGCCCUGCAGGCCGGCACGCUGCCCUUGCCGGCGGGCGCCUCCAAGGCGGCGCCGUUGCAAGCGGCGCCGGCGCCGUUGCAGAGCGGGGCGCUGCAAGGCGGGGCGUUGCAAGCCGGGGCGGCGGCCUUGCAAGCGGCGCCCCCUCCGCUCCCCAAAGCCGCCCCCGCCGGCCCCCCCCGGGCGGAACCCCCCCGGCGCUCCAGCCGCCCCCCGUCGCCCGCCGAGCCGUGGCUGGCGGCGGGGGGCGCCGAGGCUCGCUUGGAGCUGCGGGUGCGCUUCGCCGAGGCGGGGGGGCUGCUGGCCUUGCCCCCCCCGGCCCCCUCGGUGGACGGGGACGAGGAGCUGCUGCUGGCCGAGCCCCUGCCGCCCCCCCUGGAAUUUUCCAACAGCUUCGAGGCGGCGGAGAGCGCCGCCCCCGUGGGCGACUCGACGGCCUCCAGCCUCACCUCCUACGACAGCGAGGUGGCCACCCUCACCCAGGCGGUGGCCGAGCCCCGCCGGGGGGGGGGCGGCCUCGUCACCGCCGUGCCCCCCGAGGGGACCGAGGCGGUGACCGACUCGGGCAUCGAGGAGGUGGACAGCCGCAGCAGCAGCGACCACCCCCCCGAAAGCGCCGAGCCCCCCCCGGCCUUCGCCGCCCUCCUGGAGGGCCCCGAGCGAGCCAGGGCGAGGGGGCGCCCCCGGGGGGGGGCCGGGGCCGGGGAGGGGGGGGGGAGGAGGGGGGAGCCCCCCCCCCACAUCCCCUCCGCCGGCCCCCCCCGCCGCUCGCCCACGCUGCCCUGGGAGGAGGCCGGGCGCAGCGGCGGGGGGUGGCCCCGGGGGGGCGGCGAGGCCGGCUACGGGGCGGAGAGGAGCGGAGCGCUGGGGAGGCACAGCCGUUGCAUCCGGCACCCGUUUGCGCUGCAAAAGUCGUUGCACGGAUGCCCAGGAUCAUUGCGGCGCAGGACUCAUUGCAUCCCUGCAGCCGGCACCCAUUGCACACCAAACAUCGUUGCAUGGGCACACGGGGGUGCUGCAGCGCGGGACUCGUUGCAUCCUAGCAGCCGUUGCUGCAGUCACACAUUGCACCAUAAAAGUUGUUGCAUGGGCGUGUGGUGUCGUCUCAUCGCGGGACUCGUUGCAUUCCAGCAGCCGUUGCACACCAAAAGUUGUUGCAUGGAUGCUCAGUGUCAUUGCAGCACGGCACCCACUGCAUCCCAGUACCCAUUGCACCCCAACACCCAUUGCAUCCCAGUACCAACAGCAGCCGGCACUCGUUGCACCCCAACACCCGCUGCACCCAGCAUCCAUUGCAUCCCAAAAGCUGUUGCACAGAUGUGUGGCGUCAUUGCAGCACAGCACCCAUUGCACCCAGCACCCGUUGCAUGGCCACGUUGUUGCAGUGCACCAACAACCACUGCGUCCCACUGCAUGGCUGUGCUGUUGUGUUGUGAACCAGCAACUGUUGCAUCCCAGCACCUGUUGCAUGGCUGUGCUGUUGCAUUGCAGCCCAGCACCCAUUGCACCCAGCACCCCUUGCACACCUGCACCCAUUUCAUGGCCGUAGUGUUGCAUGGCACCCAUUGCACCCAGCACCCAUUACACUCAGCACCCACUGUGCUGUUGCGUUGCAAUCCAACACCUCUCACAUCCCAGCACCCAUUUCUUGCAUGUGCUGUUGCUUUGCAGUGAGCACCCAUUGCACCCAAUACCCAUUGCACCUAGCACCCAUUGCACCCAGCACCCCAACACCCAUUGCAUGGCCGUGCUGUUGCAUUGCAGUCCAACACCCAUUGCAUAUCAGCACCCAUUGCACCCAGCACCCAUUGCAUGGCC
rnacentral:lncRNA from 1 species